rnacentral:tRNA from 1 species
ACCUGGGUGGCUCAGUCAGUUGAGCGUCUGACUUUGGCUCAGGUCAUGAUCUCGCGGCUUGUGAGUUCGAGCCCCACAUCAGGGU